rnacentral:rRNA from 1 species
GAUGAACGCUGGCGGCGUGCUUAACACAUGCAAGUCGAACGAAGCAUUUAAGACAGAUUCCUUCGGUUUGAAGUCUUUUAUGACUGAGUGGCGGACGGGUGAGUAACGCGUGGGUAACCUGCCUCAUACAGGGGAUUGCCACCUGAAAACGGUGGGUAUUACGGCAUAGCCCCACAUAACACAAUGGACAGUGUGAAAAACUUCUGUGGUAUGAGAUGGACCCCCGUCUGAGUAGCUUGUUGGCGGGGUAACGGCCCACCAAGGCGACGAUCAGUAGCCGACCUGAGAGGGUGACCGGCCACAUUGGGACUGAGACACGGCCCAGACUCCUACGGGAGGCAGCAGUGGGGAAUAUUGCACAAUGGAGGAAACUCUGAUGCAGCGACGCCGCGUGAGUGAAGAAGUAGUUCGCUAUGUAAAGCUCUAUCAGCAGGGAAGAUAGUGACGGUACCUGACUAAGAAGCUCCGGCUAAAUACGUG